rnacentral:rRNA from 1 species
CUUUGCGGUAUAGUCUCAUUUCUCUCUUAAAAGGUGUAGGAUUAUCUCAGAAGCUAAGCAGGGUUGGGCCUGGUUAGUACUUGGAUGGGAGACCACCUAGGAAGACCAGGUGCUGUAGAUG